GUACCCUUCCUUGUUUCAGACUGAAUGUGUGCUCCUUUGUUCUGCUUAAGUAUGGAUGUCAAUGACCCUCGGGCACACACCCCCAUUUCAGAAUGUCACAUUCGGUGGGGGAGAGGGUUCUUCUGCUGUGGCACUAGAUGGGUGCUCUUUGGCCAUAGGCUGGGGGUGAGGGACAUCCUUGAGCCAUGAGGGACCUAUGCACACUACUGGGGCUGACCUUGAUGUCUCUUCUCAUGAGAAUAAAAACACUGUUCUAUCCCAUGCUUGACCGUGUUCCAUGGAUCUGCUGGUCAUCCUGGGAGCCUUUCCUCACCCUCCAGACUAGUAUUGGGCCCCACUAUAUAUGAAACCAUAGGAAAACUCCUGUUUCUUUGAUAG
rnacentral:lncRNA from 1 species